GAUGAAGAACGUAGCGAAAUGCGAUAAGUAAUGUGAAUUGCAGAAUUCAGUGAAUCAUCGAAUCUUUGAACGCACAUUGCGCCCCUUGGUAUUCCGAGGGGCAUGCCUGUUCGAGCGUCAUUACAACCCCUCAAGCUCUGCUUGGUGUUGGGGCCUGCCGCACCGGCAGCCCUUAAAAUCAGUGGCGGCGCCAUCUGGCUCUGAGCGUAGUAAAUCUAAUCGCUAUAGACACCUGGUGGACACUCGCCAGAACCCCCCCAUUUUUUAAUGAUUGACCUCGGAUUAGGUAGGGAUACCCGCUGAACUUAAGCAUAUCAAUAAGCGGAGGA
rnacentral:misc_RNA from 1 species